UACGGGGGGGCAAGCGUUGUUCGGAAUUACUGGGCGUAAAGGGUUCGUAGGUGGCCAACUAAGUCAGACGUGAAAUCCCUCAGCUUAACUGGGGAACUGCGUCUGAUACUGGUUGGCUUGAGUGCAGGAGAGGAACGCGGAAUUCCAGGUGUAGCGGUGAAAUGCGUAGAUAUCUGGAGGAACACCGGUGGCGAAGGCGGCGUUCUGGACUGCAACUGACACUGAGGAACGAAAGCUAGGGGAGCAAACAGG
rnacentral:rRNA from 1 species